CCUUUCAACGACAAAGCAGUAAUGAAAGGAUCUACACUUAGGGUUUCAGAGGUUUGGUUUUUUAAACUCUCUCUCUUGUUCUUGACACAUCCCCUCCCAAACACAUGGUCCCCUUAAAGCCACCAAGUUCUAUAUUCUGCUGGCUCCAUUUCAGCAAUAUCUGUCAAAGCAUAAUAUGCCUUUUAAAUCUGUGUCCAUCAGCUGUCCUGGAGAGGCGCAAACUGGCUGCCUAAACCUCAACAACUUCUCCGCACAUCAUCAGCACCACCAUCACUUGGGACCCAGCUACUAAAUUUCCAUGGGAUACAGGACAUGAAUGUGAGCCUGCCCGGGGGCAGCGGAAACAGGUAAUUUUGAUGCGCAUCUGUUGAUGUGACCUAUGGUCACACUAUGAGACCAUAACUGGCCCCAUCCUGGAAUUUUAAAAAGCAGAGGCGGCAGCGGUGUGGAGACUUGCUACCAUCUAAUUUGAUGUUCCAAGGAGCACCUUUGCCAAGUCAAAACUACCAGGAAAAGCUCCACAAAGGGCAAAGGGACAGGAAACAUUUCUGCCCUGGGAUUCA